rnacentral:rRNA from 1 species
GACGAACGCUGGCGGCGUGCUUAACACAUGCAAGUCGAACGGGAUUUAGUAAACGGAAGCCUCGGUGGAAGAUUACUAAUGAGAGUGGCGAACGGGUGAGUAACGCGUGAGCAACCUGCCUAAGACAGGGGGAUAGCCUCGUGAAACCGGGAAUAAUACCGCAUAAAAUCGUAGAAACACAUGAUUCGACGGUCAAAGGUUUAUCGGUCAUAGAUGGGCUCGCGUCUGAUUCGCUAGUUGGUGAGAUAACAGCCCACCAAGGCGACGAUCAGUAGCCGGUCUGAGAGGAUGAACGGCCACAUUGGAACUGAGACACGGUACAAACUCCUACGGGAGGCAGCAGUGGGGAAUAUUGCACAAUGGGGGAAACCCUGAUGCAGCGACGCCGCGUGAACGAAGAAGGUAUUCGUAUCGUAAAGUUCUGUCCUAUGGGAAGAUAAUGACAGUACCAGAGAAGAAAGCUCCGGCUAAAUACGUG